AGUGAACGCUGGCUAGGCCUAACACAUGCAAGUCGAACGGCAGCACAAUAAGAGCUUGCUCUUACGGGUGGCGAGUGGCGGACGGGUGAGGAAUACAUCGGAAUCUACUUUUUCGUGGGGGAUAACGUAGGGAAACUUACGCUAAUACCGCAUACGACCUACGGGUGAAAGCAGGGGAUCUUCGGACCUUGCGCGAUUGAAUGAGCCGAUGUCGGAUUAGCUAGUUGGCGGGGUAAAGGCCCACCAAGGCGACGAUCCGUAGCUGGUCUGAGAGGAUGAUCAGCCACACUGGAACUGAGACACGGUCCAGACUCCUACGGGAGGCAGCAGUGGGGAAUAUUGGACAAUGGGCGCAAGCCUGAUCCAGCCAUACCGCGUGGGUGAAGAAGGCCUUCGGGUUGUAAAGCCCUUUUGUUGGGAAAGAAAAGCAGCAGGUUAAUACCCCGCUGUUCUGACGGUACCCAAAGAAUAAGCACCGGCUAACUUCGUG
rnacentral:rRNA from 1 species